UUAUGGCUCAGGAUGAACGCUAGCGACAGGCUUAACACAUGCAAGUCGAGGGGCAGCAUAAAAGUAGCAAUACGUUGGUGGCGACCGGCGCACGGGUGAGUAACGCGUAUGCAACCUACCUAUCAGAGGGGAAUAACCCGGCGAAAGUCGGACUAAUACCGCAUAAAACAGGGGCACCGCAUGGUGAUAUUUGUUAAAGAAAUUCGCUGAUAGAUGGGCAUGCGUUCCAUUAGGUAGUUGGUGAGGUAACGGCUCACCAAGCCGACGAUGGAUAGGGGAACUGAGAGGUUGGUCCCCCACACUGGUACUGAGACACGGACCAGACUCCUACGGGAGGCAGCAGUGAGGAAUAUUGGUCAAUGGGCGGGAGCCUGAACCAGCCAAGUCGCGUGAAGGAAGAAGGAUCUAUGGUUCGUAAACUUCUUUUGCAGGGGAAUAAAGUGCAGGACGUGUCCUGUUUUGUAUGUACCCUGAGAAUAAGGAUCGGCUAACUCCGUGCCAGCCGCUGC
rnacentral:rRNA from 1 species